GCCCUGCAGCCUGGGCCUCAGGGAGCAGAGUCAGGGCGCCCACCAUGGCCUGGACCCCUCUCCUGCUCGGCCUCCUGGCUCACUGCACAGCCUCUGUGGCCUCCUAUGAGCUGACGCAGCCGCCCUCGGUGUCGGUGAACCCGGGACAGACGGCCAGGCUCACGUGUGGGGGAAAAAGCAUUGGAGGGAAAAGUGUCCACUGGUACCAGCAGAAGCCCGGCCAGGCCCCCGUGCUGGUCAUCUAUAAUGAUAACAACCGGCCCUCAGGGAUCCCUGACCGAUUCUCAGGCACCAACUCGGGGAACACGGCCGCCCUGACCAUCAGCGGGGCCCAGGCCCAGGACGAGGCCGACUAUUACUGUCAGGUGUGA